rnacentral:lncRNA from 1 species
CCUCUUCUUCCUCAGAAAGGUUUUCUGCUUUAAUCUGGUCUUUGAUGAUCAAAAAGGGGUUAAGAAACCACUCAUAGAAGGUAUCUUUUGGUCUGUUUGUGCUAGUUAUCUCAGUGACAUUGUCGCCUGCAUCAUUGAAACACGUAAAGGUGUUUUUUAUUUUAUGUUCAGAACCUUGAGACUGUUGGAAAUGAGUAGCAAGGAAGAAAAACUAAAAUUAUGUGAAUGAAAAGCAUUCCCUUACUCAACAAAAUUCCCACAGAAUUGGCCUUUACAGAGCGCAACAGUGCCUGAAGAAUGCAAUAAGCUGGUAAACCAAUGCUAAUCACUCUGCUACCCUUGCCAGACUUGGCAUCGUCAAUGUCUU